GACGAACGCUGGCGGCGUGCUUAACACAUGCAAGUCGAACGGAAAGGCCCUGCUUUUGUGGGGUGCUCGAGUGGCGAACGGGUGAGUAACACGUGAGUAACCUGCCCUUGACUUUGGGAUAACUUCAGGAAACUGGGGCUAACACCGGAUAGGAGCUCCUGCUGCAUGGUGGGGGUUGGAAAGUUUCGGCGGUUGGGGAUGGACUCGCGGCUUAUCAGCUUGUUGGUGGGGUAGUGGCUUACCAAGGCUUUGACGGGUAGCCGGCCUGAGAGGGUGACCGGCCACAUUGGGACUGAGAUACGGCCCAGACUCCUACGGGAGGCAGCAGUGGGGAAUAUUGCACAAUGGGCGGAAGCCUGAUGCAGCAACGCCGCGUGCGGGAUGACGGCCUUCGGGUUGUAAGCCGCUUUCGCCUGUGACGAAGCGUGAGUGACGGUAAUGGGUAAAGAAGCACCGGCUAACUACGUG
rnacentral:rRNA from 1 species